AGAAAUCAAAUAGAUAGAAGUCGUAUAAUAGCGGGGAUAUGGCCCGCAAGUUUCUACCAAGCUACCGUAAAUAGCUUGACUACGUCAAUUCACACUCGUUUG
rfam:Bacillus pumilus SAFR-032, complete genome.